rnacentral:rRNA from 1 species
CUCAGAAUGAACGUUGGCGGCGUGGAUUAGGCAUGCAAGUCGUGCGAGAAUCUCCCUUCGGGGAGAGGACAGCGGCGAAAGGGAGAGGAACGCGUGGUUACCUACCCUCUGGACCGGGAUAGUAGCGGGAAACUGCUAGUAAUACCGGAUAAUAUCUUUGGAUCAGAGGUGUGAUUCCUCCCGAUGAUUGGACCGCGUUCUAUUAGCUUGUUGGCGGGGGAAUGGCCCACCAAGGCGACGAUGGAUACCGGGUGUGAGAGCAUGGCCCGGCUCACUGGGACUGAGACACUGCCCACACACCUACUGGUGGCUGCAGACAAUAAUCUUCGGCAAUGGGGGAAACCCUGACCGAGCGACGCCUGCGUGCGGGAUGAAGGUCUUCGGGUUGUAAACCGCUGACAGUUGGGAGGAAGUGCCAGGGGGUUAUCCCCUUGGUUUGACCGAUCUUCAGAGGAAGGACGGGCUAAGUUCGUGCCAGCAGCCGCGGUAAGACCAACCGUCCAAACGUUAUUCGGAAUCACUGGGCUUAGAGCGUGCGUAGGCGGCCUGGUAGGUGAGAUGUGAAAGCCCACUGCUCAACCGAGUAAUUGCGUUACAAACCACCACGCUUGAAGAUGGCAGGGGUGAUAGGGAACUGAUGGGGGAGUGGUGAAAUGCAUUGAAUCAUCACGAACACCGGUGGGGAAGGGUCCUCACUUGGCUCUUUUCUGACGCUGAGGCACGAAAAGCUAGGGUAGCGAACGGGAUUAGAUACCCCGGUAGUCCUAGCUGUAAACGAUGAGCACUGGGUUGAGGGGACUUCCACAUCUUUUCGGCCGUAGCGAAAGCGUUAAGUGCUCCGCCUGGGGAGUAUGGUCGCAAGGCUGAAACUCAAAGGAAUUGACGGGGGCUCACACAAGCGGUGGAGGAUGUGGCUUAAUUCGAGGCUACGCGAAGAACCUUAUCCUAGAUUUGACAUGGUUGAGAAUCUCCUUGAAAGAGGAGAGUGCCGUUCGGGGAGCUCUUUCACAGGUGUUGCAUGGCUGUGGUCAGACUCGUGUCGUGAGAUGUUGGGUUAAGUCCCUUAACGAGAGAAACCCUUAUCUUUAGUUGCCAGCGGGUAAUGCCGGGGACUCUAAAGAGACUGCCGGUGUCAAACCGGAGGAAGGUGGGGAUGACGUCAAGUCUUCAUGGCCUUUAUGUGUAGGGGUGCACACGUCUUACAAUGGCACGUACAAAGGGAAGACAAGCCGCGAGGCCGCGAUAAUCUCAAAAAGCGUGCCCCAGUUUGGAUUGCAGGGUGCAAUUCUCGUGCAUGAAGCCGGAAUCGCUAGUAAUCGCGGGUCAGCAUACCGCGGUGAAUGUGUUCUUGAGCCUUGUACACACCGCCCGUCAAGCCACGAAAGUUGGGAGGGCCUGUAGUCUCUGAGAUAACCCGCAAGGGAGGCAGGUGCCGAAGGUCAGCUCGACAAUUGGGACUAAGUCGUAACAAGGUAACC